AUUGAACGCUGGCGGCAGGCCUAACACAUGCAAGUCGAGCGGAAGAAGGGAGCUUGCUCCUGGAUUCAGCGGCGGACGGGUGAGUAAUGCCUAGGAAUCUGCCUGGCAGUGGGGGAUAACGUCCGGAAACGGGCGCUAAUACCGCAUACGUCCUGAGGGAGAAAGAGGGGGAUCUUUGGACCUCACGCUAUCAUAUGAGCCUAGGCCGGAUUAGCUAGUUGGUGGGGUAAAGGCCUACCAAGGCGACGAUCCGUAACUGGUCUGAGGGGAUGAUCAGGCACAGUGGAGCUGAGAGGCGGUCCAGAGUCCUACGGAAGGCAGAGGUGGGGAAGAUUGGAAGAUGGGCGAAAGCCUGAUCCAGCCAUGCCGGGUGUGUGAAGAAGGUCUUCGGGUUGUAAAGCGCUUUAAGUUGGGAGGAAGGGCAGUAAGUUAAUACCUUGCUGUUUGGACGUUACCAACAGAAUAGGCACCGGCUAACUUCGU
rnacentral:rRNA from 1 species